GUGAGUCAUCGAUCGAGUCAGCACAGCAGCAGCUGUUGUAGCUGACGCGCCCUGUGACGACUGAUCUGAUUCAGAUUCAGAGUCCAGAUUCAGCUCCCUGCACCGCACCCUCGUCGUCUCGUGUCGUCUCGUCUAUCGUGUCGUACGAGAUAGAGCGUAUAGCUAUAGCCAGCCAAGUGCCCGUGUUGGUGUUGCACUUGCCGCCACGAGAUCGAUCGAGCCCUUUUUGCCUCUUUUUUUUUUAAAAAAAAAAGAGAGAAUAUUUUUGCAUCCGGGUAGCAGCCAGUGAAUACAGUUACGAAACAUGAACGUUUGAUCGUUGACUGCAUGCUAGCUAGCUGCUUUUCAAAAGAAAAAGGGCACACAUUUCUUUUAAUUUAGAUGAAAAACAAUAUAUAUGGAUCGAUCACACAUUAAUCUCUCUCUGCAAAUUCUGCUAUAGUGAUGUGCCGAGCACUGUUUGAUUGGGCCUUCUAGCUAGUUUUCCUCGAGAUAAUAACACACUCAUAUGUAUAAUAUACUGUAUAUAAUAUAUGAUCAUGAUCUCUGGAAUGAUCAUUACGUCGUCUUUGGGAGAAAAACACAUGAUUUUACACAAACUGAGAUAUAGCAAAGCAGGAACGACAUUGAGUAGAACGAUCUUAAGAUAGUAUAUAUUCAAUCGAUCGUACGUAGGCAAAUAAACUAAUUAAUUAAUCAACUGACUGAGAUACUAGCUUUAUUACAGAAACAACACCAAAUUUAUCAGCAUUCAAACAUUAUUUUAUUUAUUAUUAAUUUCCAUGGAAUGUCUCAAACAAUGUCAGAAAAUCAGGUGAUGUUUUAAGUGCAGUAUAGUAGUUUUUUAUGUGUACAAAAGUUCAAUAUAUAUUUUUCAGAAUCAUUUCAAUAAAUACAUCAUAGCUAGGAUUAUCGGUAAAAUAUUGUCACAUAUAAUUCCUAGCUAGGAAAAAUAUAUAAAACAAUUUGCCUGUAUCUACAGUAGUUGCACAUGCUAAGGAAUUGUAUAUAUGGAUUGGUAGAUAUUAUAUUUGUAUUGCACAUCCAUGAAGAGAUAAGAGGUUUAAUUUUACUCUUCCAUUAUCUAAAAGGCAGGUAAAACAUUUCCAUUAAUUAUCUACAAAAAGUCUAAAAGGUAAAUAUCAUGUUGGAUAUAUGUAUCAAACGAUAGGGUUUUCUAAAACAUUCUGUCCAACAAUUUAAAAUGUGCUUAGUUUCUUUUUUUCCCCUUGUUUAGAAAAUAGUUUUUAUGAAGUUAUUUUGAGUGGCAUUUUCCCUCAAAUGUGGUGUGUAUGAAAUUUACUAAACAAUUUAACAUUUGAGCUUAAAUGCAUACACAUCACAUGAAAUUAAUAGCAAAACAAGUUGAUUUCUUCUCUUCCUAGCUUGGUUCAACUAAAGUAAUUAAGAGAUGAUAAAAUAUUAUUUGGAUAAAAGAUGGUGUAAAUUAAAGUAUCUAUAUCUGAAACUAGAGAAUAGAUUUUGAUUUUUCUUGAUAAAUUUAUUAGAGAAGAAUUUGCAGUACACAUAAAAACAAGCCAAGAAAGUAAAAGUAAUUAAGGAGGGAAUUAAUGUAAUGUGCACAAUUGCUAGAGGAACAUUUGAAAAGUAAUCCAUAUUUAUUUGAUGUCUUUUGCAUGGUUGCAUUUCCGAUUAAUGUUCAUAUAUAUGUGAGGCCUUCGAAGUAAUUUACCAAUUAAAAUGAUAAUUUGCAUGCACAUUUUGUAUUGUAUAUAGUGAUGACAUAAAAUGAUUUUGAUUGGCAUUGCUACAAAAAUGAUUUUGGCAUUGCUGUAUAUGAUCAUACGGCCGGGGAUAUUGAUUGCAAUCAGUUGCUUUUGUCAAUAGUUAAUUAGAAUUUUCGAGUGUGAAGGGAGCUUAUAGACGAACUGACCGAAACAAUAAAAUUAAGAAUCCUCCCAACACAAAACCCUCAUGUGCACUGUACGUAGAUGUGUCCAAAGAUCAUGUGCAAAAUUUGUACAAUCAAUGAAAAUAGGACCGGAUGUUUCACAUAUAUAGUUAAUUAAAUUCCAGGCCAUAAUUUUUUAACAAAACAAGGUUGAUUAUACUAAAUAUAAGAAAUGAUUAUAAGUCUAUUGUUACAAUAAAGGACAUAAAAUUUGCCAAGACAAACCAAUAUACUCCAUAUAUAGCUCAAAAAGUCACAAGCUAGAGAUGCGAGCAGAAGAGCGCAACCACAAUCCUUUUGAGUUAUUUGUGCAACAAAAACUCUAUUUCUUAAUAUAUUGACGUGCAAUCCUUUUGCGCGUUCGCGAAAAAGAAGAGCGCAACCACAACAUUGUUGACGUCACCAACUCCAGCACAUGCAAAAGUAUAUAUGAAUGUGUAUAUGUCACCAUCUUCGAUCCUUUGACAAAUCUGUAAGUCAACGUCAUCAAACAAAUUGGAGACCCAGAUUUUAAAAUCCGCACCACCGAUUGAAUCGUCGGUAACUUAGCAUACAAAUCUUCCUAGAUCUUCAUCGAUGAUCCCAGAAAUACAGAAGACAUUGUCAAAGAUAU
rnacentral:sRNA from 1 species